UACGUAGGGUGCGAGCGUUGUCCGGAAUUAUUGGGCGUAAAGAGCUCGUAGGCGGUCUGUCGCGCCGGUCGUGAAAACUUGGGGCUUAACCCUGAGCUUGCGGUCGAUACGGGCAUGACUGGAGUUCGGUAGGGGAGACUGGAAUUCCUGGUGUAGCGGUGAAAUGCGCAGAUAUCAGGAGGAACACCGGUGGCGAAGGCGGGUCUCUGGGCCGAUACUGACGCUGAGGAGCGAAAGCGUGGGGAGCGAACAGG
rnacentral:rRNA from 1 species